rnacentral:rRNA from 1 species
GACGAACGCUGGCGGCGUGCUUAACACAUGCAAGUCGAACGGAAAGGCCCUGCUUUUGUGGGGUGCUCGAGUGGCGAACGGGUGAGUAACACGUGAGUAACCUGCCCUUGACUUUGGGAUAACUUCAGGAAACUGGGGCUAAUACCGGAUAGGAGCUCCUGCUGCAUGGUGGGGGUUGGAAAGUUUCGGCGGUUGGGGAUGGACUCGCGGCUUAUCAGCUUGUUGGUGGGGUAGUGGCUUACCAAGGCUUUGACGGGUAGCCGGCCUGAGAGGGUGACCGGCCACAUUGGGACUGGGAUACGGCCCAGACUCCUACGGGAGGCAGCAGUGGGGAAUAUUGCACAAUGGGCGGAAGCCUGAUGCAGCAACGCCGCGUGCGGGAUGGCGGCCUUCGGGUUGUAAACCGCUUUCGCCUGUGACGAAGCGUGAGUGACGGUAAUGGGUAAAGAAGCACCGGCUAACUACGUG